rnacentral:rRNA from 1 species
AGAAGGAACUCGGCAAAUUGACACCGUAACUUCGGAAGAAGGUGUGCCUUUAGUAGGUGAACCUGUACAAGGGGAGCCCAAUGAGGUUGCAAAAAAUCGGUGGCUGCGACUGUUUAAUAAAAACACAGCACUCUGCAAACACGAAAGUGGACGUAUAGGGUGUGACGCCUGCCCGGUGCUGGAAGAUUAAAUGAUGGGGUGCAAGCUCUUGAUUGAAGUCCCAGUAAACGGCGGCCGUAACAAUAACGGUCCUAAGGUAGCGAAAUUCCUUGUCGGGUAAGUUCCGACCUGCACGAAUGGCGUAACGAUGGCCACACUGUCUCCUCCUGAGACUCAGCGAAGUUGAAAUGUUUGUGAUGAUGCAAUCUCCCCGCGGAAAGACGGAAAGACCCCAUGAACCUUUACUGUAGCUUUGUAUUGGACUUUGAACAGAUCUGUGUAGGAUAGGUGGGAGGCUUUGAAGUGUGGUCGCUAGAUCGCAUGGAGCCAACGUUGAAAUACCACCCUGGUGUGUUUGAGGUUCUAACCUAGGCCCGUAAUCCGGGUCGGGGACAGUGCAUGGUAGGCAGUUUGACUGGGGCGGUCUCCUCCCAAAGCGUAACGGAGGAGUUCGAAGGUACGCUAGGUACGGUCGGACAUCGUGCUAAUAGUGCAAUGGCAUAAGCGUGCUUAACUGCGAGACUGACAAGUCGAGCAGAUGCGAAAGCAGGACAUAGUGAUCCGGUGGUUCUGUAUGGAAGGGCCAUCGCUCAACGGAUAAAAGGUACUCUGGGGAUAACAGGCUGAUACCGCCCAAGAGUUCAUAUCGACGGCGGUGUUUGGCACCUCGAUGUCGGCUCAUCUCAUCCUGGGGCUGUAGCCGGUCCCAAGGGUAUGGCUGUUCGCCAUUUAAAGAGGUACGUGAGCUGGGUUUAAAACGUCGUGAGACAGUUUGGUCCCUAUCUUCCGUGGGCGCUGCAGAUUUGAGGAAGCCUGCUCCUAGUACGAGAGGACCGGAGUGGACACACCUCUGGUGUAUCGGUUGUCACGCCAGUGGCAUUGCCGAGUAGCUAUGUGUGGAAGAGAUAACCGCUGAAAGCAUCUAAGCGGGAAACUCGUUUCAAGAUGAGAUCUGCCGGGGCCUUGAGCCCCCUAAAGAGUCGUUCAAGACCAGGACGUUGAUAGGUCGGGUGUGGAAGCGCAGUAAUGCGUUAAGCUAACCGAUACUAAUUGCUCGUGCGGCUUGAGC